GCCAAGCGAUGAUGAUGAUGACGAUAUGUCGCUACCUGAAAAUCCCUGAUGGUUUUAAGUCACUACCUCAUCUGAGCUUGCA